UGGGGAGGUUUUACAUAAAGGGUAACU
rnacentral:piRNA from 1 species